GGAGAUUAUAAAAAUAUCUACGCCUCAUGGGGUUAUAUGAAGAUUAUGUGGGAGAAUACACAUAAGCACCCAGCCCAGUCCUUGAAACCUGCCAAGAUGAUUCUCAAUAGUAAAAAGUACACUUCAGAAGAGCAAGGAAUGCAAUGGAAGUUUAAAACAUGCUGAAGGCUACUCUUCUUCCAAAAUGCCCGAAGCCAGCUGUUCAUGGAUAAAGUCACCACUCUGUAAGAGCACUGUGCCCUUUUUUGGAAGGAGGACCUGAGUGACCAAGCAGUCUGUCACUAAGGAAGAUCAAACUGCCAACAUUCUGGAUGACAGGAAGUUCAUAGUGACCUUGUCAAAUCAGAGAAAUGAUCAGCUGGAAACCUGACUUUCCCAGAGGAACGAGGUGGGGAAAGAAAACACACAAGGACAAAAAACACUGAGCAGACUUGGGAUAAAUUGCCUUUUUUUUUUUUCUUUGCCCUUUUAUAUAUAAGAUGUUGGAAUUGGCCUAACAUAUUAAGCAAAAAUAACCAUUUAGAGAAUAAAAUUCCUUGUUCUUGU